AAAAUAAUCCUACCCUUUGUGAAUUUUGUUUGUUUGAAUAAUUUUUUUUUUUAAAAAAUUAUUGGAGUCUUUCCCUUUAGAGUUUGCUUUUGAGUUUGUAAAAGAAUUCGAAAACAUCUAAAGGGGAUGGUCAAUAAUUUUUUUUGAAAAAAGACAUUUUUUAAAAUUAAACUUUUUGUAUUCAUUUGUCUAAAAAUUAUUUUUAUAAUAUAAAAACAACUUUUGACAAUGGAUCUCUUGGUUCUCGCAACGAUGAGAACGCAGCAAAAUGCGAUAAGUAGUGUGAAUUGCAGAAUACGUGAAUCAUCGAAUCUUUGAACGCAUAUUGCACUUUUUUAGUUUACUAAAAAAGUAUGUCUGUUUGAGUAUCAGUAAAAUAUUCUCAUAAAAAUCAUUGUAUUUUAUGGUUAUGAGUGUUUUACAACGAUACAAGUUGUUUCACUUUAAAUUUUUUUUUAAUAUUGAAAUUUUUCUAAUUUUAAUAAUUAAAAUUGGAUAAAUUUUCCCGUCAAAAGGAAUAACCUAAACAAUUUUAAACGAUUAAUUUUAGCAAAAAUUUUCGUAAAAAAGGAAAAUUUUUAUUAAAAUAACUUGAUCUCAAAUCAGAUAAGAGUACCCGCUGAACUUAAGCAUAUCAAUAAGCGGAGGAAAAGAAACUAACAAGGAUUCCCUUAGUAACGGCGAGUGAAGCGGGAAGAGCUCAAAUUUGAAAUCUUCAGGUUUUACCUUGACGAAUUGUAGUUUAAAGAAGUGUUUUCUGCUGAAGUUUUAGUAAAAGUUCUUUGGAAUAGGACAUCAUAGAGGGUGAGAAUCCCGUAUUUGACCAUUAUUUUCAGCUUUGUGAUACACUUUCAAAGAGUCGGAUUGUUGGGAAUGCAGCCAAAAUGGGUGGUAAAUUUCAUCUAAAGCUAAAUAUUGGCGAGAGACCGAUAGCGAACAAGUACCGUGAGGGAAAGAUGAAAAGAACUUUGAAAAGAGAGUUAAACAGUACGUGAAAUUGUCAAAAGGGAAGCGUUUGACACCAGUGUUUGUUUUCUCGAAAAUCAAUUAAAAAUGGCUCGAUUUGUAUUGCUGAGACCUUAAAAGCUCACUGUACAUUUUUCGUGUCUUUUUUAAUGCACUUUUCGUUAACAAGUCAACAUCAGUUUCUUUUGUUGUAAAAGGGUCAUUGAAGGUGGCUUUCUUUUCGGAGAAAGUGUUUAUAGCCUUUGCCUCUGCAAUCGAGAGACUGAGGUCUGCAGCGUAGACUCUUCGGGUUAGAUACAUUUGUGCUAAGUUAUAGCUUUUUAUAGACAACUUGUUGACUAUAAUUAGUCUUGUAGGCUUACUCGCUUAUGCUAUUUUACCUACGCUUAGGAUG
rnacentral:misc_RNA from 1 species